rnacentral:rRNA from 1 species
GACGAACGCUGGCGGCGUGCUAAUACAUGCAAGUCGAGCGAGCUUGCCUAGAUGAAUUUGGUGCUUGCACCAAAUGAAACUAGAUACAAGCGAGCGGCGGACGGGUGAGUAACACGUGGGUAACCUGCCCAAGAGACUGGGAUAACACCUGGAAACAGAUGCUAAUACCGGAUAACAACACUAGACGCAUGUCUAGAGUUUAAAAGAUGGUUCUGCUAUCACUCUUGGAUGGACCUGCGGUGCAUUAGCUAGUUGGUAAGGUAACGGCUUACCAAGGCAAUGAUGCAUAGCCGAGUUGAGAGACUGAUCGGCCACAUUGGGACUGAGACACGGCCCAAACUCCUACGGGAGGCAGCAGUAGGGAAUCUUCCACAAUGGACGCAAGUCUGAUGGAGCAACGCCGCGUGAGUGAAGAAGGGUUUCGGCUCGUAAAGCUCUGUUGGUAGUGAAGAAAGAUAGAGGUAGUAACUGGCCUUUAUUUGACGGUAAUUACUUAGAAAGUCACGGCUAACUACGUGCCAGCAGCCGCGGUAAUACGUAGGUGGCAAGCGUUGUCCGGAUUUAUUGGGCGUAAAGCGAGUGCAGGCGGUUCAAUAAGUCUGAUGUGAAAGCCUUCGGCUCAACCGGAGAAUUGCAUCAGAAACUGUUGAACUUGAGUGCAGAAGAGGAGAGUGGAACUCCAUGUGUAGCGGUGGAAUGCGUAGAUAUAUGGAAGAACACCAGUGGCGAAGGCGGCUCUCUGGUCUGCAACUGACGCUGAGGCUCGAAAGCAUGGGUAGCGAACAGG